rnacentral:rRNA from 1 species
UACGGAGGGUGCAAGCGUUAUCCGGAUUUACUGGGUUUAAAGGGUGCGCAGGCGGCGUCGCAAGUCAGGCGUGAAAUCCCCGGGCUUAACCUGGGAACUGCAGUCGAGACUGUCUAGCUAGAGUAUGGGAGAGGGAAGUGGAAUUUCAGGUGUAGCGGUGAAAUGCGUAGAUAUCUGAAGGAACAUCAGUGGCGAAAGCGACUUCCUGGACCAAUACUGACGCUCAUGUGCGAAAGCGUGGGGAGCAAACAGG